GAUGAACGCUGGCGGCGUGCCUAAUACAUGCAAGUCGAGCGAACAGACGAGGAGCUUGCUCCUCUGACGUUAGCGGCGGACGGGUGAGUAACACGUGGAUAACCUACCUAUAAGACUGGGAUAACUUCGGGAAACCGGAGCUAAUACCGGAUAACAUGUUGAACCGCAUGGUUCAACAGUGAAAGACGGUCUUGCUGUCACUUAUAGAUGGAUCCGCGCCGCAUUAGCUAGUUGGUAAGGUAACGGCUUACCAAGGCAACGAUGCGUAGCCGACCUGAGAGGGUGAUCGGCCACACUGGAACUGCGACACGGUCCAGACUCCUACGGGAGGCAGCAGUAGGGAAUCUUCCGCAAUGGGCGAAAGCCUGACGGAGCAACGCCGCGUGAGUGAAGAAGGUCUUCGGAUCGUAAAACUCUGUUAUUAGGGAAGAACAAAUGUGUAAGUAACUAUGCACGUCUUGACGGUACCUAAUCAGAAAGCCACGGCUAACUACGUG
rnacentral:rRNA from 1 species